rnacentral:rRNA from 1 species
GUGGGGAAUAUUGGGCAAUGGGCGAAAGCCUGACCCAGCAACGCCGCGUGAAGGAAGAAGGUCUUCGGAUUGUAAACUUCUUUUAUGAGGGACGAAGGAAGUGACGGUACCUCAUGAAUAAGCCACGGCUAACUACGUGCCAGCAGCCGCGGUAAUACGUAGGUGGCAAGCGUUGUCCGGAUUUACUGGGUGUAAAGGGCGCGUAGGCGGGAUGGCAAGUCAGAUGUGAAAUCCAUGGGCUCAACCCAUGAACUGCAUUUGAAACUGUCGUUCUUGAGUAUCGGAGAGGCAAGCGGAAUUCCUAGUGUAGCGGUGAAAUGCGUAGAUAUUAGGAGGAACACCAGUGGCGAAGGCGGCUUGCUGGACGACAACUGACGCUGAGGCGCGAAAGCGUGGGGAGCAAACAGGAUUAGAAACCCCAGUAGUCC